rnacentral:rRNA from 1 species
AACGAACGCUGGCGGCAUGCCUAACACAUGCAAGUCGAACGAGACCUUCGGGUCUAGUGGCGCACGGGUGCGUAACGCGUGGGAACCUUCCCUUAGGUUCGGAAUAACUCCCCGAAAGGGGUGCUAAUACCGGAUAAUGUCUUCGGACCAAAGAUUUAUCGCCUUUGGAUGGGCCCGCGUUGGAUUAGCUUGUUGGUAGGGUAAAAGCCUACCAAGGCGACGAUCCAUAGCUGGUCUGAGAGGAUGAUCAGCCACACUGGGACUGAGACACGGCCCAGACUCCUACGGGAGGCAGCAGUGGGGAAUAUUGGAAAAUGGGCGAAAGCCUGAGACAGCAAUGCCGCGUGAGAGAUGAAGGCCUUAGGGUUGUAAAGCUCUUUUAACCGGGAUGAUAAUGACAGUACCGGGAGAAUAAGCGCCGGCUAACUACGUG